GACGAACGCUGGCGGCGUGCCUAAUACAUGCAAGUAGAACGCUGAAGGAGGAGCUUGCUUCUCUGGAUGAGUUGCGAACGGGUGAGUAACGCGUAGGUAACCUGCCUGGUAGCGGGGGAUAACUAUUGGAAACGAUAGCUAAUACCGCAUAAGAGUAGAUGUUGCAUGACAUUUGCUUAAAAGUUGCAAUUGCAUCACUACCAGAUGGCCCUGCGUUGUAUUAGCUAGUUGGUGGGGUAACGGCUCACCAAGGCGACGAUACAUAGCCGACCUGAGAGGGUGAUCGGCCAAACUGGGACUGAGACACGGCCCAGAAUCCUACGGGAGGCAGCAGGAGGGAAUCUUCGGAAAUGGGCGGAAGGCUGACCGAGCAACGCCGCGUGAGUGAAGAAGGUUUUCGGAUCGUAAAGCUCUGUUGUAAGAGAAGAACGAGUGUGAGAGUGGAAAGUUCACACUGUGACGGUAUCUAACCAGAAAGGGACGGCUAACUACGUG
rnacentral:rRNA from 1 species